GUCAGAAGUUGGGCCAGUUCGUUCUGUCAUGAUAUGACGCAGAUUCUGAAUGACCCAAGUGCUGGAACCCGGAAGGAGACUCGGACAGGAGAAGGUGGAGCGUCAGCUGGCUGGAGGCGUCUUGACGAGGAGAUCCAGGAGCGAAGCACGAGUGACCAGAGGACUGCGACCAGGAGCAAGGAUAGGUCAGACUAAGCACCAUGGGAGGAACAACGAACUGGCGUCGGCUGAAGAUCCACAGACUCCUUAAGAAGGCUGCAGCAGUGAUGAG